AGAGGGACCUUAAAUCUAGUGGUUACUUUCUGGUGUACAGUACUUAAAUACCAGGGUCACAUUGUCAUGUAUACCAGCUGCCACAGACAACCCAGAUGCUCAUACAGUGUUUCAAUGCCCACCGUGUUUCACACAGGAUCCUUAGUCCUCAGUCUCAAUGCACUCUCAGCUGCACGAUUGUGUUUCAAAUUUGUAUAUUCAACGGUUUUACAGAGUUGUCUCGAAUUCAACCCGAAUAUGCUUGUAUCCUAUUUGUGACCAACGUCUGCUCCCUUUUGUUUAUAUCAGCCCAUGCAUGAGAAUGAAGAGAGAAACAGAUUGCCUUUUGAUUGUUUCACCACUUGGAAGGCUUCUUCUAAUUAAUACCAAGUCUUUUGCAUUGAGCAAGAGAAACAGACAGCAUCUUCAUGAGAUAUGUUAGUUAUUGUUGUAGCUACUUUUAUCAUGGGGGAUUGUGGUUUUGGUGGCUCCAAAGUUCUCUUGUCCUUGUUUGGGUAUUUAAUUUGCAAGAUUUCAACAUUGGCGCGAUGACAAAAGUUAUCUCCUUCUAAUGUCGUCUCACGGGAAUCAGUCUCCUUGCAAGAACGAAAAUAUUGUCGCGUGGUCAAGCCAGGGAGGCAGAGGGCGCACCAGAGCCACAGUCGGAAAUUUCGAAAAUGUUAUUCAGUAUAAAUAUAUAUAUAUAGAUGAGUUAUUCGGUGUUCUUGGAGAUUGUAUUGGUUCCUCUCUAAGUGACCACUAACAUUACCUAUAUUUCUUCCACCAUGGCUCUACUGCUUGCGAUGUUGCGACGUAUAAGAUUUUAUUUAGAUUUUCAUCCCUUCUCGGUUAAAAUAAAAAAUAAAAAUUUGGCCUGUUUAAACCCAAUAAUCUCAAAUCUCUCCACCGUUUAAGCUCCUCUCUCUACAUUAUUUUGUUGAUUUUUAAAAAUAUUUUCAAGUACCAACCAAAUACCGCAAAAAUAAAAUUUUAAAAUUUAUUUUCUAAAAAAAUAUUUUACAUUGUAAAAAUUUUACAUCAAAACAAACGGUGCCUAGUAAUUCUACGUAAAGCAGUCAAAUUGAUGUCUGCUGGUGAGAUGUUGACGAGGAACGAGCUGCAGGCAGGUACUUUGCGACUAUCCAACAUUGGGUCCCAUUUGGGGUUGAAACCCAUUUAAAGCAUUAACGUGUGUCAUGGGAGUUUAUUUGGUUGGGGUCAAAUUAAACUGUUUGCUGCUGCAGCAUUUGCUGAAGGCUUUUUCAAAGGCAUGUAAAAGAAAGAAAAUGGGUUCGGACUUUA